CAGAUCAUUGGGUUGAUAGGCCGGAACUGGAAGCCCUGUAAGGGGUGGAGGUGACCGGUACUAAUAGGCCGAGGGCUUAUUAAC
rnacentral:rRNA from 1 species